rnacentral:lncRNA from 10 species
CAGGUUCCUGCCAGAGAGAAGAGUGUCUGCAAACCCCUGAGGCAAGAGGAGCCUGUGUCUUUGAAGGUCUGAACAAAGGCUCAUUCCACAGAGUCAGGAAAGCAGAGGGGGCAGUAUUUGGGGAAGAGGCCCAGGAGGAAGGGUAGGGGGGGCCAAGUUGGCCAGGCCCUUCUUGAUGCUGAAUGGCAGGAGGACUUUGAAGAAGUGACAGGGUCAGAGGUGCCAUCCAGAAAGAUCACCCUGAUCAGAGCUGGGAGAAUGGAGGUGCCGGGCAGGAGCAGAUGCCAGGGCCUGCUUGGAGGCAACUGGAAUACUCCAGGCUGUUUUUUUGGAGUCUCAACUGGCAAAUUUCUACAAAGUGCUCUUCUUCACAAGACUUCCUGUUACCUCAGGACCAGAGAAACCUCCAUACCUUUGUCCUAGCUGGAUUUGAGCUCAGUUAUAUUGGAGUCUCUUUCCUCUAAGGCAGUAGACUGAACAAAAUGUUUUGCCGCCUUUAAUGUGUGUCUGGCACUGGCAUUGAUGAAGGCUUAGCUUCUGCACCUGUAACAUGAACAGAGAUAACCGCUGGUAAGAGUUUGGCUUAUAUUCUUCUACAUUUUUUUCCCCACAAGAAACUGAAAUUUGAAUUUUCUUCUACAAGUGAGAAAAAAAAAAAGUAAAAUCUCUAACUGUCUUAGUGAUGAUAAUUCUGAGAAGACAGGCCCAUUGAGCCAAGUAGGAGGAUAGGUUUCCUGAGGAUGGAGAUGCAGAAAUAGUUGACUUUGCCUUCACGAAGCAUCCUGACAUUUUUAGAUGUGGCUACACUCUGUGGGCCGGAAGUCGAAUUCCCUGGAGGGCUAGAGCUCUCAGUAUUUUGGACAUAUGUGAAGUCAGCACAGGGGGCAGGCGGUAAGUUAACUUGAAGAGAAUUCCAGUUACAAAUUUAGCUCAGCUUCUAAAAAACACUCCCAUCGAAGAGAGAUUCCUGGUUGCUGUGGAACUGCGUCCCCUGUGGGAUUUUCCUUGUGGAGUUAACUAGACACAGUUGUUACUAGGUAGCGGGACAACAGAUUUGCUUAAGAUCUCUUCGAUUUUGACAGUUUGAUGAUGGGUGACUUAUGUGGUAUUGUGGACAUCUGUUGGCUUUAUAUUUUGCCUGCCAAGCAUCCAUACUUUCUUUUUUCUGGUAUCCAUACUCAAUUUUUCUUCUGGUUCACCACCUAUACCGGGUUGAAUAAUGCCUCCCUCCCCACCCCAAUUCAUGUCUACUCGGAAGCUCAGCAUGUGACUUUAUUUGGAAAUAAGAGUCUUUGUGGAUAUAGCUAGGAUGAGGUCAUCCUGGAUUAGGGGGGGUCCUAAGUUCAAGGACUGGUGUUACCAUGAGAAGACACAGAGAAGGAAGGAGAGGCAGAGACUGGAAUGAAAUAACUGGAAGGGAAAGAACACGGAGGAUCGGGAUUGUCAGCGCCUCCAGGAGCUAGGAGAGAGGCCUGGAACGGGCUCUGCCUCAGAACCUCCAGCAGGAACCAACUCUUUGGACACCUUGAUGUUGGGCUUCUGGCCUCCAGGACUGGGAGAAGAUGCAUUUCUGUUGUUUAAGUCCUCCAGUUUGUGGUAUUUGUUAUGGCAGCCCUAGCAAAUUAAUAUACCUCCCAUUUACCCUGUCAAAAUGAUCCGGGGGCUAGUCUCUGUUGUGCUGGGCUCCUAUUAACUUCGGUAGGGAAGGCAUUAGGUUCAGGAGGAUGAGGAAGAGACCCAGAGUCCUCAAAUGAGACAUGGGGUUUUAUUAGCAGGAAGCUUACAUACACAGUGGUCCAGUGGUGGUGGGCUGGGCAGGAGAACCACAACUGCUUCCAAAAGCAUGUGGUUUGUACAGCAUUUUCACCUAGCACCCUCCCUGUAACAAUCUCCACCUGGCAACCCUCGUUUAACUCAAAACAAAGGGCCUCAAUGUCCUGCACGGGCCCUUUACGUUCCAUGCGUCAGGCUGGGG